rnacentral:lncRNA from 1 species
GUUGCCAACAAGACAUGUGGUUCGAGCUCUCUGUGUGUGUUACGGGAAGUCCGGAAGUGCCAGGGGAGUGGACACAUUGCUCAUUGUGAUUUUUAUUUUCUCACUAAGCUUCUGAGUUUUGAGGGAAAAAAUAUUUGAGACUAAAACUAAUGUUUAUAGACAGAUGUCAUUAAUGCUGGGUGGGAUUUGGAGGAAAUGCUGGAGAAAGAGGGCGCUAGACCAAGGGAGCCUGAGCGGUGCCCGCGCCCGGCUGGGUUUGUUCCCCCAGGAAAGCGUCUGUUUAGUGCCGCCCGCCGAGUGUGAAAGCGUUGAGCAACUCUGCAAAGCGACGACCUGGGCUGAUGAGGCAGGACUGGGAGGCUCCGUCUGCUGUACGUGAAGGCAGUGCCC